rnacentral:misc_RNA from 1 species
GAUGAAGAACGCAGCGAAAUGCGAUAAGUAGUGUGAAUUGCAGAAUUCCGUGAAUCAUCGAAUCUUUGAACGCACAUUGCGCCCCUUGGUAUUCCAUGGGGCAUGCCUGUUCGAGCGUCAUUUGUACCUUCAAGCUUUGCUUGGUGUUGGGUGUUUGUCUCGCCUUUGCGUGUAGACUCGCCUUAAAAUAAUUGGCAGCCGGCGUAUUGAUUUCGGAGCGCAGUACAUCUCGCGCUUUGCACUCAUAACGACAGCGUCCAAAAGUACAUUUUACACUCUUGACCUCGGAUCAGGUAGGGAUACCCGCUGAACUUAAGCAUAUCAAUAAGCGAGGA